UACAGAGGUCUCAAGCGUUGUUCGGAUUCAUUGGGCGUAAAGGGUGCGUAGGUGGCGGGGUAAGUCAGGUGUGAAAUUUCGGAGCUUAACUCCGAAACUGCAUUUGAUACUGCCGUGCUUGAGGACUGGAGAGGAGACUGGAAUUUACGGUGUAGCGGUGAAAUGCGUAGAUAUCGUAAGGAAGACCAGUGGCGAAGGCGGGUCUCUGGACAGUUCCUGACGCUGAGGCACGAAAGCGUGGGGAGCAAACAGG
rnacentral:rRNA from 1 species